rnacentral:rRNA from 1 species
GCCCGAAGGUGUUCUCUCAUGUCCAUCUCACCCCUUUGUGCAUCACCGCGUGGGCCCCCCUAUUGGGAUUGUUCCGAGAAGGGGGUUUCACGUUUUUAAACAGACACCAUUUUUUCAAAUGCAUGUGUAGAAUGUCUUACUUUUUGCGAUCACGCGAAAUCAAUACAACUUUCAACAACGGAUCUCUUGGCUCUCGCAUCGAUGAAGAACGCAGCGAAAUGCGAUACGUAAUGUGAAUUGCAGAAUUCAGUGAAUCAUCGAAUCUUUGAACGCACCUUGCGCCCCUUGGUAUUCCGAGGGGCACACCCGUUUGAGUGUCGUGAACACCCUCAACCUUCUUGGUUUUUCUACCGGGAAGGCUUGGACUUUGGAGGUUUUCCUUGCUGGCCUCCCUUUGAAGCCAGCUCCUCCUAAAUGAAUUAGUGGGGUCCACUUUGCCGAUCCUUGACGUGAUAAGUAUGCUUCUACGUCUUGGGUCUGCACUGUUGCCCUGGAACCCGCUUCCAACGGUCUUCGACUGAAGACGAUGUUCGAGUCGCGUCGCGACUUCGACCUCAGCGACCUUGACCUCAAAUCGGGUGAGACUACCCGCUG